rnacentral:sRNA from 1 species
GCUGGGUGUGGUGGUGCACACCUGUACUCCCAGAGCCUGGGGAGGCUGAGACAGGAGGAUCGCAAGUUCGAGGCCAGCCUCAGCAACUUAGUGAGGCCCUAAGCAACUCAGUGAGACCCUGUCUCUA